CACUUCUAAGGAAGGCAGCAGGCGCGCAAAUUACCCAAUCCUGACUCAGGGAGGUAGUGACAAGAAAUAACAAUAAACCGGCUUAUGCCGGUUUAAUUGGAAUGAGUACAAUUUAAACAUCUUAACGAGGAACAAUUGGAGGGCAAGUCUGGUGCCAGCAGCCGCGGUAAUUCCAGCUCCAAUAGCGUAUACUAAAGUUGUUGCAGUUAAAGAGCUCGUAGUUGGAUUUCUGUGGGGACGGAGCGGCCGGCCGCACAUCGCGGUUCGAGCUAGCGCUUUCCCUACAUCCUGCCGCGAACCGUGCUACCAUUAGUUUGGUGGCGCCGGGGAUCGGCUCGAUUACUUUGAGAAAAAUAGAGUGUUCAAAGCAGGCCACACGCCUUGAAUAAGUUAGCAUGGAAUAAUAACUAAGGACUUCGGUUCUAUUUUGUUGGUGUUCGGGACUGAAGUAAUGAUUGAUAGGGACAGUUGGGGCGGUCUGUAUUCCAAAGCGAGAGGUGAAAUUCUUAGACCUUCGGAAGACAAACAGCUGCGAAAGCGUUCCGCAAGGAUGUUCCCUUUGAUCAAGAACGAAAGUUGGGGGAUCGAAGACGAUCAGAUACCGUCGUAGUCUCAACUAUAAACUAUACCAGCUAGGGAUCGGCCAACGUUAUUCUAUACCGACUUGGUCGGCACCUUAUGAGAAAUCAAAGCAUCUGGGUUCCGGGGGGAGUAUGGUCGCAAGGCUGAAACUUAAAGGAAUUGACGGAAGGGCACCACCAGCCGUGGAGCCUGUGGCUUAAUUUGACUCAACACGGGAAAACUUACCAGGUCCAGACAUAGUAAGGAUUGACAGAUUGAUAGCUCUUUCUUGAUUCUGUGGGUGGUGGUGCAUGGCCGUUCUUAGUUGGUGGAGUGAUUUGUCUGGUUAAUUCCGUUAACGAACGAGACCCCAGCCUGCUAAAUAGCGCGUGUGAGCUUUGCUCGCAGCGAGCUUCUUAGAGGGACUACGAUGCGCGAUAGCACAUGGAAGUUUGGGGCAAUAACAGGUCUGUGAUGCCCUUAGAUGUUCUGGGCCGCACACGGGCUACACUGGCGCCUGCAACGAGCAUAUCAGCUGGCCCGAGAGGGUCUUGGCUAAUCUUUUGAACCGGCGCCGUGCUUGGGAUUGACCUUUGCAAUUGUUGGUCAUGCAACGAGGAAUGCCUUGUAAACGCGAGUCAUCCGCUCGCAUUGAAUACGUCCCUGCCC
rnacentral:rRNA from 1 species